rnacentral:lncRNA from 1 species
CCCAUCCCAAGCUGUCUUCCUUUUUCCUUAGCAAUUACCAAUUGAACACCUGCAAAGAUUCCUAAUAAUACUAACAUGGUAAGGCAUUCACGCUAAUAUUCUUAAAAAUAAAAAAUAAUAAAAUGGCACACUACAGAAUGUAGCAUAUUUACUUUCUGCCCAACUUUGAUAAUUUAUAGAGGAUAUACACAAAAAUGACACAAUGACUAAAACAACUUUUAACAUUGGCCAUUGACCCAUUAAGUCAAUUAAAAAAAAUAGUUAAAAAAUAACUUUAAACACCAAAGGACGAUUUUACCCUUUCACAUUANNNNNNNNNNNNNNNNNNNNNNNNNGUAACUGUUGUUGUUAAUCAAUUGAAUUUUUUUACAUUUAUUCGGUUUAAUACUAGCAUGAGUAACUAGAUUAUGUUGUGCUUGGGUGAAAAAUGUGAAUUUUUUAGACCUCUCAUCGUCAAAAAUGACGAUUUCAGACGAAGAGAGGAAGGGGAAAAGACAUCGAAUGUUAACAAUCGGGUCUCUAUUGUUAACAGUCUAACCGAUUGUUAACAUUUAAUUUUUUUUAAAAAUAUAUAUAUUUAAUUUUUUAAAAUAUAUUUUAUAAUUAAUUUAUUUUUUUAUUUGAUUAAAU